rnacentral:rRNA from 1 species
AUUGAACGCUGGCGGCAGGCCUAACACAUGCAAGUCGAACGAGUGGCGGACGGGUGAGUAAUGUCUGGGAAACUGCCUGAUGGAGGGGGAUACCUACUGGAAACGGUAGCUAAUACCGCAUACCAUCAGAUGUGCCCAGAUGGGAUUGGCUAGUUGGUGGGGGAACGGCUCACCAGGGCGACGAUCCCUAGCUGGUCUGAGAGGAGGACCAGCCACAUGGGAACGGAGACACGGUCCAGACUCCUACGGGAGGCAGCAGUGGGGAAGAUUGGACAAUGGGCGCAAGCCUGAUGCAGCCAUGGCGCGUGUAUGAAGAAGGCUUUCGGGUUGGAAAGUACUUUCAGCGGGGAGGCGUUACCCGCAGAAGAAGCACCGGCUAACUCCGUGCCAGCCGCCGCGGUAAUUC